rnacentral:rRNA from 1 species
AUUGAACGCUGGCGGCAGGCCUAACACAUGCAAGUCGAGCGGCAGCGGGAAAGUAGCUUGCUACUUUUGCCGGCGAGCGGCGGACGGGUGAGUAAUGCCUGGGAAAUUGCCCAGUCGAGGGGGAUAACAGUUGGAAACGACUGCUAAUACCGCAUACGCCCUACGGGGGAAAGCAGGGGACCUUCGGGCCUUGCGCGAUUGGAUAUGCCCAGGUGGGAUUAGCUAGUUGGUGAGGUAAUGGCUCACCAAGGCGACGAUCCCUAGCUGGUCGGAGAGGAUGAUCAGCCACACCGGAACUGGGACACGGUCCAGACUCCCACGGGGGGCAGCAGUGGGGAAUAUUGCACAAUGGGGGAAACCCUGAUGCAGCCAUGCCGCGUGUGUGAAGAAGGCCUUCGGGUUGUAAAGCACUUUCAGCGAGGAGGAAAGGUUGAUGCCUAAUACGUAUCAACUGUGACGUUACUCGCAGAAGAAGCACCGGCUAACUCCGUGCCAGCCGCCGCAGUAAUAC